CAGCAGCCGCGGUAACACGGAGGGGGCUAGCGUUGUUCGGAAUUACUGGGCGUAAAGCGCACGUAGGCGGCUUGGUAAGUUAGAGGUGAAAGCCUGGAGCUCAACUCCAGAAUUGCCUUUAAGACUGCCGAGCUAGCAGGUGAGAGAGGUAAGUGGAAUUCCGAGUGUAGAGGUGAAAUUCGUAGAUAUUCGGAAGAACACCAGUGGCGAAGGCGGCUUACUGGCUCAUACUGGACGCUGAGGUGCGAAAGCGUGGGGAGCAAACAGGAUUAGAUACCCCUGUAGUCCCUGUCUCUUAUAC
rnacentral:rRNA from 1 species